AGAUGGAAUCAUACCAGCACUAGCACACCGGAUUCCAUCGGAACUCCGAAGUUAAACAUGCUUGAGCGUGAGUAGUACUAGGAUGGGUGAACCCUUGGGAAGUCCUCGUGUUGCAUCCC
rnacentral:rRNA from 1 species